rnacentral:rRNA from 1 species
GAAUGAUCCCUUCGGGGUGAUUUCGAUCGGAUUAGCUUCGAACGGGUGAGUAACGCGUGAGGAACCUGCCUCUUACACCUGGAUAGCCUCGGGAAACCGGGAUUAAUACCGUAUAAGACUCCGACAUCUCCUGAUGAUGAAGUCAAAGCGUUAGCGGUAAGAGAUGGUCUCGCGUCUGAUUAGCUAGUUGGCGGGGUAACGGCCCACCAAGGCAACGAUCAGUAACCGGCCUGAGAGGGUGAACGGUCACAUUGGAACUGAGACACGGUCCAAACUCCUACGGGAGGCAGCAGUGGGGAAUCUUGCACAAUGGGGGCAACCCUGAUGCAGCGACGCCGCGUGAGCGAUGAAGGUUUUCGAAUCGUAAAGCUCUGUCCUAUGGGAAGAUAAUGACGGUACCAUGGGAGGAAGCCCCGGCUAACUACGUGCCAGCAGCCGCGGUAAUACGUAGGGGGCGAGCGUUGUCCGGAAUUACUGGGCGUAAAGGGUUCGCAGGCGGCAUGGCAAGUCCGAUGUAAAAGGCGAAGGCUCAACCUUCGUAAGCAUCGGAAACUGUCAAGCUUGAGUGAAGGAGAGGCAAGUGGAAUUCCUAGUGUAGCGGUGGAAUGCGUAGAUAUUAGGAGGAAUACCGGUGGCGAAGGCGACUUGCUGGACUUCAACUGACGCUGAGGAACGAAAGCGUGGGUAGCAAACAGGAUUAGAUACCCUGGUAGUCCACGCCGUAAACGAUGAGUGCUAGGUGUCGGGGGUCAAACCUCGGUGCCGCCGUUAACACAAUAAGCACUCCGCCUGGGGAGUACGUG